GGGGUUAUUAAGGAAAAACUAGCAAAUUUAUAAAAAAAGGAGGGUAAAAUCCAAAAGCCACAUGUUAAUUAUUAAUAAUAAAAUAUUUUAAUUAACAAUUAUUUAUGUUGGCGAUCCUAAGGGAAACCUUUAUUAUUAAAACUUCCUGAAGUAAAUCAUUUUAGUAAGGAAAGGAAAGGAAAUCAACCGAGACUCCGAAAGUAAUGGCGAGUGAAAUUGGAAUAGCCUAUAUAACUUUAUAAAUAGAAUAAAUUAAAGUAACCAAAGAAGGGUAACAAAGUCCUGUAUAUUUAUAAGUUAUUUUCUUUAUAUUUCAAAAAUAUAAAGUGAAAAAAAAAAAAGUACGAUGAGAGUAAACUUGUCGGAAUAUAGGGGUACCAUCCUCUAAGGCUAAGUAUUAUAAAUUUAGCGAUAGUGAAAAAGUACUGUAAAGGAAAGUUUGAAAAGCAUGUAUUAUUAGACAUAAUGAAAUAGUUGAAUUAGUAACUCU
rfam:Grifola frondosa strain 9006-11 000063F, whole genome shotgun sequence.